AGAUUGGAGGGGAAUCUUAGAGAGGGAAGACCAGGGAACGGGAACAGCCCCAGCUGAGGUCUCUGGGGAAUGAAAUCUGUACUACAGUGGAGAGGCGGUUUGGAAGGAAGAAGCAAGGAGACCCUCGGUCAGCCUCCAUAACUGUGGUAUUGAAGUUGUUUCCAGGUUUCUGCUACACAUACACCUUUGCAUAUCUCUCUGAUUAUUUCCUGGAAUGCAUUUUAUAUGUGGGAUGGCUACAUCAAAGAGUCAGAAACAUUUUCAAGCUUAGACCUGAAGAGUCCUUGGAUGCUUCUGCUCACUUCCUUAGACCUCUGCCACUGUGUAUGAACAAACCCAGGCUAGCCUGCUGGGGGAUGAGAGGCAACAUGGAGCAAAACUGGGUCAGCGGAUUCAUCUCAGACACAUGAGCGAGCCCAGACAAGAUCAGCAGAACUGAUUUGCUGGCCUAACAGUCAACUCCACAUGCAUAAGUGAGAUCAUCCUAGACCAGCUGGCCCCCAGCCAGUGAGCUAAAUAAACUCUUGUUAUUU